AAUCGACCUCAAAUCAGAUGGGAUUACCCGCUGAACUUAAGCAUAUCAAUAAGCGGAGGAAAAGAAACUAACAAGGAUUCCCC
rnacentral:rRNA from 1 species